UACGGAGGGAGCUAGCGUUGUUCGGAAUUACUGGGCGUAAAGCGCGCGUAGGCGGCUUUGUAAGUUAGAGGUGAAAGCCCGGGGCUCAACCCCGGAACGGCCUUUGAUACUGGGUGUCUUGAGUUCGGAAGAGGUGAGUGGAAUUGCGAGUGUAGAGGUGAAAUUCGUAGAUAUUCGCAGGAACACCAGUGGCGAAGGCGGCUCACUGGUCCGAUACUGACGCUGAGGUGCGAAAGCGUGGGGAGCAAACAGG
rnacentral:rRNA from 1 species